rnacentral:rRNA from 1 species
GGAAGGGGUGUAUUUAUUAGAUAAAAAUCAACUUUGUUGGUGAAUCAUAAUAACUUCUCGGACCGCAUGGCCUUGUGCUGGCGGUGCUUCAUUCAAAUAUCUGCCCUAUCAACUGUCGAUGAGAGGAUAGAGGCCUACCAUGGUUGCAACGGGUAACGGGGAAUAAGGGUUCGCCUCAUGAGAGGGAGCCUGAGAAACGGCUACCGUAUCCAACCAAGGCAGCAGCUGCGCAAAUUACCCAAUCCCGACACGGGGAGGUAGUGACAGGAUGUAACAAUAUACGGCCUUAUACGUCGUAUAAUUGGAAUGAGUACAAUUUAAAUGGCUUAACGAGGAACAUAUGGAGGGCAAGUCUGGUGCCGCCAGCCGCGGUAAUUCCAGCUCCAAUAGCGUAUAUUAAAGUUGUUGCAGUUAAAAAGCUCGUAGAAUUACCUUGGACCUGGACAGGCGGUCCGCCAGACGGCGUGUACUGUCUUGCUGGGUCUUUCCUCUUGGUGAUCUGUUGUUUCGGCAGCAGGGAACCAGGACUUUUAC